CUUGAGCUAACUUUAAUCUGAUUAAUGGAAUGGGCUAUUAAAGCUUUAGAAAAGAGGACCAUAUUUUAUUAGGGUUUGGUUUGUUUUCCCGGUUGACAUGCAGAGUAUAAUCGGCUUGACUCUCCAGAUCUCACUUCUCCUACCUUCGUCUGUAUAAUGGCUUGACUUACUGACUAUCCUCUUUCAGAUACAUUAAUCUUUGCAUUUACGUGUUUAUAAAUGGGAUCGUAGCCUGCGAUUAUCAGACCCACCACUCUUAACAAUGGGCUUCUAUCGGAGGUCUCCCUGAUUCACGCUUUCAUACCAAAGUCGAGGGAUUCUUCGUCUUUCCAAAUCGAGUGGAUUCUAUCUCCCAAAUACACCGACUUAUGAUCCAUAUGGGAUUUUCUAAGUUCGUGGCCUGCCUUCUUAUUUGAGUGUAUUUAAGGUUGUCGCACCUGUUAGAAUGACAUUCUAAAUCCCUUUUGGAUACGUGACAUGUAUGAUACCUAUAAGCACGUUCUUUGCAUCCAUCCUCUGGUCUAUAAAUACUGCAUAUUUGGACAUUUCAAUUGCCUUCAUACAGAUUUUCAAAGGACACCACUCUCUUUCUGCUCAAAGCCUAUUUUAUAACUGUUGCAUUGAAUGUUGAUGCAAAGCUGCCAACGAUGUCGCUUAUCGCUUCAGACUCCAGCUUCUUGCCCGGUGUGAAAGAGCUCCAUUGGUCUCAACAACGAGAACACCACAGGUUUCCCUGAUGCUACAACUGAUGAAGCAAGCACAAUGGACUCAACACCACUACCUUGUCAAGCGGAGACAGUGAUAAGCAUUGACAGCAGAGCAAGUGAUUUCACGUGGAAACAACAACAAUGCAGAAAGAGUAUUAGCUAAUCAUCAACAUCAUGAAGUGAAAUAAAGGUUUGGGGAUGCUUAGUGUUAGAGUGAGAUGCAAGUCGUGUAACUCCAAUCUCUGUUUAUGUUAUUGUUUACUUUACUUUAUAAAAACCAUGCUGGAUUCUAUCAAGAAAACUUUUAAAAAUUGAUUUAUUGUUUACUUUA